GGAAAGGCGCGCGAUACAGGGUGACAGCCCCGUACACAAAAAUGCACAUGCUGUGAGCUCGAUGAGUAGGGCGGGACACGUGGUAUCCUGUCUGAAUAUGGGGGGACCAUCCUCCAAGGCUAAAUACUCCUGACUGACCGAUAGUGAACCAGUACCGUGAGGGAAAGGCGAAAAGAACCCCGGCGAGGGGAGUGAAAAAGAACCUGAAACCGUGUACGUACAAGCAGUGGGAGCACGCUUAGGCGUGUGACUGCGUACCUUUUGUAUAAUGGGUCAGCGACUUAUAUUCUGUAGCAAGGUUAACCGAAUAGGGGAGCCGAAGGGAAACCGAGUCUUAACUGGGCGUUAAGUUGCAGGGUAUAGACCCGAAACCCGGUGAUCUAGCCAUGGGCAGGUUGAAGGUUGGGUAACACUAACUGGAGGACCGAACCGACUAAUGUUGAAAAAUUAGCGGAUGACUUGUGGCUGGGGGUGAAAGGCCAAUCAAACCGGGAGAUAGCUGGUUCUCCCCGAAAGCUAUUUAGGUAGCGCCUCGUGAAUUCAUCUCCGGGGGUAGAGCACUGUUUCGGCAAGGGGGUCAUCCCGACUUACCAACCCGAUGCAAACUGCGAAUACCGGAGAAUGUUAUCACGGGAGACACACGGCGGGUGCUAACGUCCGUCGUGAAGAGGGAAACAACCCAGACCGCCAGCUAAGGUCCCAAAGUCAUGGUUAAGUGGGAAACGAUGUGGGAAGGCCCAGACAGCCAGGAUGUUGGCUUAGAAGCAGCCAUCAUUUAAAGAAAGCGUAAUAGCUCACUGGUCGAGUCGGCCUGCGCGGAAGAUGUAACGGGGCUAAACCAUGCACCGAAGCUGCGGCAGCGACGCUGAUGCGUUGUUGGGUAGGGGAGCGUUCUGUAAGCCUGUGAAGGUGUGCUGUGAGGCAUGCUGGAGGUAUCAGAAGUGCGAAUGCUGACAUAAGUAACGAUAAAGCGGGUGAAAAGCCCGCUCGCCGGAAGACCAAGGGUUCCUGUCCAACGUUAAUCGGGGCAGGGUGAGUCGACCCCUAAGGCGAGGCCGAAAGGCGUAGUCGAUGGGAAACAGGUUAAUAUUCCUGUACUUGGUGUUACUGCGAAGGGGGGACGGAGAAGGCUAUGUUGGCCGGGCGACGGUUGUCCCGGUUUAAGCGUGUAGGCUGGUUUUCCAGGCAAAUCCGGAAAAU
rnacentral:rRNA from 1 species